rnacentral:lncRNA from 1 species
GAACAAAGGCCUGGAGACUGGAGCGAGCUGCGUUCUUGGGGGUGGGGGGUGGGGCGGCAGCUGGAGAGUGGGGGCUUCCCCAGCGGGAGAGGGAGGACGAUUCUGGAUGGCUUCCCUCCUUGUGGACAGAGUGAGUCUCUGCUAUGAGAAAGGUGUUCUACAUACGGCUCGGGAGCCAGCAAGUGCGUAUGAAGCCCCUUCACAUGGCUAGUGGCAUCCUAAGGACCCGGCGACAAUUAGUCAUGGCGUCAUCGAACACCAGGCUGGAGGAGGUCUUGGAUGCCACAGCUCCUUUUGAAUUUCAAAGACGUUCAAAUCCCCAUCUGGCUGUUACACUUUUAGGCUAUUGAGAGUGAAAACAAGCACUGACAUGAACACCCAACCAGCUGCCGGUGACAUCGUCCCCUUCUGAGAUCUGAGGACAUGGAUACCCAACCACCUGCCGGUGACAUCGUCUCCUUCUGAGAUCUGAGGACAUGAACACCCAACCACCUGCCGGUGAUAUCGUCCCCUUCUGAGAUCUGAGGACGUGGAUAUCCAACCACCUGCCGGUGACAUUGUCUCCUUCUGAGAUCUGAGGACAUGGACACCAAACCACCUGCCGGUGACAUUGUCUCCUUCUGAGAUCUGAGGACAUGAACACCAAACCACCUGCCAGUGACAUCGUCCCCUUCUGAGAUCUGAGGACAUGGAUACCCAACCACCUGCCGGUGACAUCGUCUCCUUCUGAGAUCUGAGGACAUGGACACCCAACCACCUGCCGGUGACAUCGUCUCCUUCUGAGAUCUGAGGACAUGAACACCCAACCACCUGCCGGUGAUAUCGUCCCCUUCUGAGAUCUGAGGACGUGGAUAUCCAACCACCUGCCGGUGACAUUGUCUCCUUCUGAGAUCUGAGGACAUGGACACCAAACCACCUGCCGGUGACAUUGUCUCCUUCUGAGAUCUGAGGACAUGAACACCAAACCACCUGCCAGUGACAUCGUCCCCUUCUGAGAUCUGAGGACAUGGAUACCCAACCACCUGCCGGUGACAUCAUCUUCUUCUGAGAUCUGAGGACAUGGACACCCAACCACCUGCCGGUGACAUCGUCUCCUUCUGAGAUCUGAGGACAUGGACACCAAACCACCUGCCGGUGACAUCGUCUCCUUCUGAGAUCUGAGGACAUGAACACCCAACCACCUGCCGGUGAUAUCGUCCCCUUCUGAGAUCUGAGGACGUGGAUAUCCAACCACCUGCCGGUGACAUUGUCUCCUUCUGAGAUCUGAGGACAUGGACACCAAACCACCUGCUGGUGACAUUGUCUCCUUCUGAGAUCUGAGGACAUGAACACCAAACCACCUGCCAGUGACAUCGUCCCCUUCUGAGAUCUGAGGACAUGGAUACCCAACCACCUGCCGGUGACAUCAUCUUCUUCUGAGAUCUGAGGACAUGGACACCCAACCACCUGCCGGUGACAUCGUCUCCUUCUGAGAUCUGAGGACAUGGACACCAAACCACCUGCCGGUGACAUCGUCUCCUUCUGAGAUCUGAGGACAUGAACACCCAACCACCUGCCGGUGACAUCGUCCCCUUCUGAGAUCUGAGGACAUUGAUACCCAGCCACCUGCCGGUGACAUCGUCUCCUUCUGAGAUCUGAGGAUAUGGACACCAAACCACCUGCCGGUGACAUCGUCUCCUUCUGAGAUCUGAGGACAUGAACACCCAACCACCUGCCGGUGACAUCGUCCCCUUCUGAGAUCUGAGGACAUGGAUACCCAACCACCUGCCGGUGACAUCGUCUCCUUCUGAGAUCUGAGGACAUGGACACCCAACCUGCUGCUGGUGACAUCGUUCCCUUCUGAGAUCUGAGGACAUGGACACCAAACCACCUGCCAGUGACAUCGUCUCCUUCUGAGAUCUGAGGACAUGGACACCAAACCUGCUGCCGGUGACAUCGUCCCCUUCUGAGAUCUGAGGACAUGGACACCCAACCACCUGCCGGUGACAUCGUCUCCUUCUGAGGUCUGAGGACAGACACUCACAUGGACACCUAAACACCUGCCGAUGAUAUUGUCUCCUUCUGAAAUCUGAGGACAUGGACACCCAACCAGCUGCUGGUGACAUCAUCUCCUUCUGAGAUCUGAGGACAGACACUCACAUAGACGCCCAAUCAGCUGCUGGUGACAUUGUCUCCUUCUGAAAUCUGAGGGUUGGAACACAUUGGCCUGGCUCAGUGUUUCUCCAUGUGGUUUUGAGACCACCUGAGUUGGAACCGAUAUGGGUUCCCAGCCUCACGCCUGGAGAGCUGGAUUUUGCGAGUGUGAGGUUAGGUCCAGCAUCUGCAUGUGUAACGAGCUCCCAGGUGUUUCGUAGAUGCAUUAGGGCUUGAGAAGCUCCUUUCUAGCACCAUCUUCCUUUUUGCGCAUGAGGGAGUUCAGGUCCAGAGAAAUAAAGCAGCAAGGUUAGUGGCACAGCUGGCGCCCCCUGCUUUCUAGGAAUUUAGAAUAUUAUUGAAGAGAGAGGUAUUAGAACCUGUGAAGUCAAUACAGAGACCUCCAGGCGAGUGGCAUCCUCACUGAAACCACUGACAAGUAUGCUGAAUAGAAAGUGUCAUUUCUCCUGGAAGACCCUCAGUGACCCAGCUGGAGGGUCUCUCCUACUCAUCAGCUGUCCCUCACUCUGCCAUUUCAGCAGCUCUGCUCACCCUGAGCAUGCAGAGAGAGCAGCUUUUAAAUGAGUUCUAAUCCAGACCAGCUUGGCUAGCAUUGUCUGUGUAGAGGUGUGCUAGUAAGUCUAACAACUGGCUCUCUGAGAGAGAGUAGCCCUACCUAACUGGUAGCAUUUGCCACUUCCCAUGGUGUAAAUACUCCCAGCAUGGCCAACUUCAAGCUUACUAAGAGGAUUUCGCUGAUCAUGGUUUUGGGGAGAGAUGUGCAGAUUGACUCCUGCCAGCUAGUAGGAGCCGGCUCCAGCACACCACGGCAUCUGUGUCCAGGAACCAGGCUGAGAUGUGGGAAGGCCAGAGAAGGAGGAGGCUGGCAGAUGCCUGAGGGCUGGGAAGGAUUGCAUCCAGGAGGACGGCCGUGGUGGGCAUCCCUGCAUUGGGGGGCAGCCGGGCCCAAGAUCCAGGGGGACAGAAAGCACAAAUGGUGCUGGGGUUCAGUGCCACACUCACCCUGGGGCAGAGGAGGGUGACACUGGCCCUGCCACCUGACCUCAGCCUCAGGGGCUCCAGAUCCUAGCCAGAGGCCUUGAGUGCUUCCUGCCACAAAGGCAGGGGGUGGCCUGGGAUUUCCUCUCUGAUCGGAGCUGAUGUUUCCCUCCAGGAAACCAUCCCUGCUCACCUUGCUAGGCCUGGGGCAAGUUGGAGUGAAGGGCAGGUCCCUCAGCCUUGCCUUUGAGACCUUACCUUCCACUUCAUUCCCGUCUGUGGCUCUCAUUCCUUCCCCACCCCUGCCCUAUGCUCUGGUGAGAAGGUGCAACCCUGUGAGCCCCCAUAGCAAGGUUCACUCCAGCCGUGCUUUCUGCUUGCUUUUGGUUUGUGAAAACCCUCCACUUUCUUAGAGGCCUUCUGCAAAUGUCAUUUCUUCAUAAGGAUCUUCCUACCCCGCCCGAGCCAGGGAGAUCCCUCCCUUCUCUGAGCCUAGAGCACCAUGUCCCUUCCCUGUAGCCCUGGUGACGUGCACCCUGGAUGGUGGCCCUUCCAGUGACAUGGAGGAUGUUUUCCCUCUACAGACACUGUCUGGUUUUAGGAUCCCGGAGCCAGGCAUCUCGCUCACCCCUGUAGCCACCACAGCAUUCAGCCCUGCAGCCUGGGACCUUGCUAAGGUCUUGCUUUACCCCUAAAAACCAAAAAUAGUGUGUCACCUUUAGCAGUGAUUGCCAACGCCUCUGGAGUGCUGGCUGGGACAGGCAUCUCUAUUUUCAUCCUCACCAAUCCUGCCAGGGAGCUACUCUGGGGAGCCCCAUCCUGCUGAUGAAUGACCGAGUCUCGCAGCGAUGACGGAACCUGCAGGUCCCAGGCUUGGGCCCAGGUCUGUCUUUCUCCAGGGGCCUCACAUCCAUCUCCUUCCCAGCUCUCCUUUUCUGUAAGACUUCACAGAACAGGUUCAAAAUCCAUUUGCUGGCCGAGCACAGUGGUUCACGCCUGUAAUCCAGCACUGUGGGAGGCCUCGAGGCAGGUGGAUCACCUGAGGUCAGGAGUUCGAGACCAGCCUGGCCAACAUGGCGAAACCCCAUCUCUACUAAAAA